rnacentral:lncRNA from 10 species
UGAUUUAACUAUUCGUAGUGGGUCUUUUUGCCCCUCACCCUCUUCUUCCCCAACAGACUGAAAACAUUAAAAUAAUUUCCUUAUCUUUUCAAGGGAGCUACCUGUGCUCUUCCUGUUCGCACUCAGCACUAAGAAACUCUCAGAACCACACUGAAUCUGUACUUGUGAUGAGCUUCAGAGAUCCUAGAAUCCAAGCCGUCUGGGGAUAGUGUUGAUGGACAGGCCUGGGGCUGAGACUGAGGUUCUAUGUCCAGAGAAGAAACUCGGAUGUUCUUGGAGACAUGGCUGCCCUGGAAUUUGGUAAACUCACAUCCUUUGAGGCAAGUGACAUCAUCAUGAACCAAAGUAUAAAAAAGCAAAAGAGAAAACUUCAAAGCAAUUGCAACACUGAAAACAAAAAGACAUUCUGCCUUCUUCAGAAAGCUAACUGUACGUGAUUUUUCAAUUACAAUUGUGUAACAACAGCAAAAAAAUCCUUUCAAGAGUGAAAGAUGUAUUCUGGGAAGUCAGCAGUGAUGGUAAGGUUUAAGAUUUUCCAGUUAACUCUUUUUUUUUUUGAGACAGAGUCUUGCUCUCUUGUUGCCCAGGCUGGAGUGCAGUGGUGCGAUCUCAGCUCACCGCAACCUCUACCUUCUGGUUUCAAGAUUCUCCUACCUCAGCCUCCUGAGUAGCUGGGACUACAGGCAUGCACCACCACACCUGGCUAAUUUUGUAUUUUUUUUUAGUAGAGAUGGGGUUUCUCCAUGUUGGUCAGGCUGGUCUCAAACUCCCGACUUCAGUGAUCUGCCUGCCUCUGCCUCCCAAAGUGCUGGGAUUACAGGUGUGAGCCACCAUGCCUGGCCCCACUUAACUCUUAAUGAGUUUGCAACAGUCUGGGGCUGCAUAAAAGUCAACCAAGCUGUUGUACUUGCAGGUGAUAUCAUACAGCCAGGCCCUGCUGAGCUCUACAGCUUUCUCUGAUGUUCUGCAGUCCAGGGUCACAGGACACAACACUCCAGACCACACUGACUGCUUUUGUUGAGUUUCUACUUCACUUUUGAUGACUAAUCUACUUCCUGUUAGCAUCUGACAGGUCUCAAAAAGAACAGUAUUAAUCUGGUGGGAAGUGUGUGGGAGCAGGAAGCUACCUCUAGAAGAAACGUUAUCAUAAUUCUCAAGCUUAUUUCUCCAACAAAAAAAAGUUUGAUUAACUUUGAAAGUGAAAAAAUGUGAGGCAACUGUAAUCAUAAAUCCAAUCAGUUCUUACCAAUCUGGCUUUCCCCCCAACCCACAAUAAUUACGCAUACCAUUAUCAUGUUGUUCAGUAUUAUGAAACUACUGGUUAACCUGGCCUAUUGGAAUACUUAACUACAAAUAGAAGCCUCUAGGUAUCUUUUUCUCUUCAAGUGUGAAAUAUUUCAUCUACAUUUUGAAUGUCUGCAAAGAAAACUCUUUUCGGGGCAAUUCUAAGGGUCUGGUUGUUGGAAGCAUCAAAUAUUUGAAAGGAAUAAGAAGGCUUUGACUUCAUAAUUGUAUUUGUAGCUUUGUGGACCCAGCAUGAUAUUUAACACCAUGAUGUUGCAACAAUCACUGUUUUUACUGAGCAGUGACUGGUGAAAUGUAUGUUGCUUUUUGUUUUGUGUUUCAGUUAUUUUUCUACCAAUAGUUACAUGAAGUUUCUUUUUUUUUCCUUUACUUGUUUAUUAAAUACAUGACAAAGUUGAGAAGCACAUUACCAGGAUAAAUUGUACUGACCCUCCUGUCUCUCUUCUUCACUAAUUAAUUUUUGGUUUGGUUAGAAGACAGGAGGGUCUUAAGAUCACUGUGAUUAUCAUGAGUUAGGUUUGUAAAUGUCAUGGUGAAAAAAUAUUAAUAUCUCAAAACGUCUAUUUUUAAAAUUGAUCUCAUGGCUUAACAAGCCCACUUAGUGGAAUAUUUUCCACCAUUAUUUAACCACUAAUGAUUCUGAAAGUAUUUUAUAUCCACAUGAUCUUAGACCUUCUCUUAAUGAUUGUAUAAACUUACAAACGCAAGACUAUCUUGGAGGACACUGAAUAUUGAUGUGUGUAGCAAAGUAUUUACUUUCUUUAAAUAACCAGCUCGGUGAUAGUUCUCUAUGUUUCUAGCAGUCUGUGUAAUUCUGUUUCUUCAGAGGAAUAUUUUUCACAUUGAUACAGGAGAGAGGCAGGGAAGUGCUGAGUAGAGAAGGGCAGGGUGCCUGGCAAGGGUUCCACCCUCUGGCCUGGGCCCAUGGACCUAAGUGAGGACAGGCACUCUUGCUUUCAUGCCUAAAUGUUACAUUUUCCAAAACCACUCUGGCCUGCCAUGCCCCCCAUCCUGUGCCUAUACAAACCCGGAGACCCUAGUGGACACACACACAAGUGGCUGGAUGUCGAGAGGAACACACUGGCAGAAGAACACACCAACAGACACCUGCAGGCCAUUGACUGGAACAAUGUGGACACCGAUUGAAAUUCAGCCAAGGGUGGUGGGAGGAGAUCCCAGCCACUGAGAGGCCCAACUCCAGGGGAAGACUGCCUUCCCACUCCAUCCCCCUUCUGGCUCCCCAUUAGUCUGCUGAGAGCUACUUCCACCACUCAAUAAAACUUUGCACUCAUUCUCUAAGCCCACGU